AAAAUAUUGAUAUUGCAAUAUGUAGCAUUGUUUAAUUAUCAAUAUGUGGCAUCAAAAAUCAAUAUAUUUAUUGAAAUAUAGGCGCUCGAAACUCCUUAAUAGUUCCCAAACUCCCCCAUUUUGACUUUUCGUCUUGCGAUAUAUCGAGUAUUGCAGAAUCACAGUAUCUCAAUAUUAUUUAGCUAUGCUGAUUAUCCCACCCACUCAGCUACUUAGCUGUGCUCCUCCUAUCACUAGUGACGCCCCAACACCAGGAAGGUGAAGGCUAGCACAUGCCUCCUCCGAUACAUGUGAGGUCAGACUCCGCCUCUUUUUGAACUGCUGCUGAUGCAGCUUUGCCGAGUAGCAUCACAGUGCUAACGUUCAGAGGAAAGCGCAGCGACUCGGUUCUGAUACAUCAGCUCACAGAUGCAGCAUUGUGCUGAUCAACAUCACUCUAAAAGUGAUGAAAGGAAAUCUACCCAUCUAUCCACCCUAUGAGAGGAAGGCCAAUUGUGCUCUCUCAGGGCUCCGGCAGCUGAUGGCGAGCUGCAUGACCGGGAUUCGAAUCAUGAACAGUGAUCUCCCGAUGCUGAUUGCAAUUCUAAAGGAAGAUAAAAGUUACGAGGAACAAUAAAUGAUACACAAAUAAAUUUGACCAAUAUGGGCUGAUAUUUAUUGAGCCACACUUUAGAAUAGAAUUAGCAUCUAAUGCAUGUUUAAUGCACAAGUUGUAGAGGUUCCUAAUGGAGUCCUGCAAUAAUUCGUCCCUAACAGUGACCGAAAGUGUCAUUUUCAUAUGGGUGGAAGGCCACACUGGAGACAACAAUAUAUAUAUAUUUUUUAAGUGCACAGGUCUUAAACAUGACCCUCUGCUCCUUUAUACUUCUGUCUUGGUGAAGACAAGCUAAGAAUCAUAAAUAUCUAAAACACUUCCUCAAUAAUGAUGAUGCUGUUGUUUUGGAACUAUUUAGAAGCACAGAUUUAGCUCAGUAAUAUUCCUGGCCACUUUUUCCACCUUCAUCAUCCAUUAACCAAACCCUGAUGGGUUCAUCAGCUUGCGUCUGCUGCCCCUGACCCCCGACUGUCUGGCUGGACAUGUCCACUGAUGCGACCUGUCAGCAGGUGUUUGUGUACGUGGGUCUGGAUCUGCUGACUCAUGUCUGGGUCUCAAUCUGAGCAGCGUUAUUAUUUUCUGAGCCGUCCAGCAGCAGCGGCCGCCGCGGGGUCUGAGUAGACCUGUUGUGAAGAUGCCUCAUCAGAGGCCGUGUGCUCUGCAGUGGCCUGUCAGACAUCAGACCUGAUUACUGUUGGUGAAAGCUGUGUGUGUGAGUGUGAGAGUAGUGAGGUCGAAUUCAGGGCAGGACACAGCAGAGGAUGAUGACUUAAUGAUUUGCAUGGUAGCUGAUCACACACUCCACAAGAUACAGUCAGUGUUUCUAAUGAAAUGGCUGUUGAGUAAAAGAUUCAGGUGUUACUGAUAAAGCCAAUCAGUGGAAAGCAGAGGUAGGUGUUUCUGAUAAAGUGGCCAGUGUAAUGGUAGUAGUGACCAGGCAGUAGAAAGAGAAGGUAUGUGGUUCUAAUAAAGUGGGCAAACGGUGAAAGUACAUAAAUAGUGUUUCUAAUAAAGUGGCCAGUCAGUGGAAAGAGGUGUUUCUAAUAAAGUGACCAAUGAGUGGACAUAUACGUUAGAUGUUUCUAAUAAAGUGGCCAGUCAGUGGAAAGAGAAGUUAAGUGUUUCAAAUAAAUUGGCCAAUGAGUUGCAGUCAUAGUUAGGGGUUUCUAAUAAAGUGGCCAGCCAGUGAAAAAAAAGAAGGUUAAUAUUUCUAAUAAAGUGGCCAGUGAGAGGUAUUAGAAGCUAGAUGUUUCUAAUAAAUUGGCCAGCCAGUGGAAAGAGACUGUAAGUGUUUCAAAUAAAGUGGCCAAUGAGUGGAAGCACAAGGUGGUGGAUGUAUCUAAUAAAUUGGCCAAUCAGUGAAGGUAAAGGGAUAUUGUUUCUAAUAAAGCAGCCAAUCAGUGAAAGUAGAGGAAUGGUGUUUCUAAUAAAGUGGCCAGCCAGUGGAAAGAGGUGUUUCUAAUAAAGUGGCCAAACAGUGAAAGUGGAGAGAUGGUGUUUCUAAUAAAGUGGCCAGCCAGUGGAAAAAGAACUGUAAGUGUUUCUAAUAAAGUGGCCAAACAAAAAUAGUACAAUGGUUGAUGUUUCUAACAAAUUGGCCAGGCAGUGGAAGGAGAAGGUGGGGGUUUCUAAUAAAGUGGCCAGUAAGUGGAAAGAGGUGUUUCUAAAAAAAUAUGAUGAAUGAGUGGCAGUAAAAGUUAGGGGUUUCUAAUAAAGUGGCCAAACAGUGAAAGUACAUAAAUAGUGUUUCAAAUAAAGUGGCCAGCCAGUGGAAAGAGGUGUUUCUAAUAAAGUGGCCAGCCAGUGAAAGUAGAGGGAUGGUGUUUCUAAUAAAGUGGCCAAACAGUGACAGUAGAGGGAUGGUGUUUCUAAUAAAGUGGCCAGCAAAUGGAAACAGAAAGGGGGUGUUUCUAAUAAAGUGGCCAGGCAGUGGAAAGAAGUGUUUCUAAUAAAGUGGCCAGGCAAUGGAAAGAGGUGUUUCUAAUAAAGUGGCCAGCAAAUGGAAACAGAAAGGGGGUGUUUCUAAUAAAGUGGCCAGGCAGUGGAAAGAAGUGUUUCUAAUAAAGUGGCCAGUCAGUGGAAAGAGGUGUUUCUAAUAAAGUGGCCAGUCAGUGGAAAGAGGUGUUUCUAAUAAAGUGGCCAGUCAGUGGAAAGAGGUGUUUUAAUAAAGUGGCCAGUGAGUGGGGGUAAAAGAUAAAUGUUGGUGUUUCUAAUAAAGUGGCCAGUGAGUGGGGGUAAAAGAUAAAUGUUGGUGUUUCUAAUAAAGUGGCCAGGGAGUGAAAGUAGAGGUGAGCUGUGUAUAAUACAGAACCUGCAUGGUAUCAGGUGUACAGUGAUGGCAGCAUUAUUACAGGACAUAUUGGAAUCAUGGUUCUUCUCUCUCCAGGCUCAGGUGGGUGUGUCUUCAUGGCUGCAUACCUGCUGAUGUCUUUCUCGCCCUGAGGCUCCCUGAUCCGCUCUGCUCUGGCAUGAUAUACAGUAUAUAAUAAUUAUAUUUUAUUCUCAGGUCUUCCUGCAGAGCCGGGUCUAAUCACAGCGUUUGUCUCAUGACCUUUAGGUUGUCGUCAAAGCAAACAUCCCUGCUCUGAAUGGCUGCAGAGCGGAGGCUGCUUAUUAACUUCACUUUUCUCAUUUUUCCUGAAUUUAAUAACAUAUCUGAGCUUGGGGUUCAUAUUAUAUCGUCUAUUUUAUUCAUAACAGCAUCCCUAAUUUUCCUUCUUUCCUUUCUGUGCAUCCCUGUAUCUGAUCCUCCGUUCCGGACUUGCCCUUCCCUGGAGCUCCUUCCUCCAAACCACCAGAUCAGCUGUAAUUGAGUGUGAACAUGAUAUUAACUCUCAUUUU